rnacentral:pre_miRNA from 1 species
AAUUGAUUAUUACUCAAUUGUUGUACUAUGGCUAGCUAGCAGUUAGCCAUAGUACAACAAUUGAGUAAUAAUCAAUU